rnacentral:lncRNA from 1 species
GAACUGUAAGAAACAACUUUGCUGCAUUAACUAAUUUGCAAGAUCGCGCACCCAGCAAAAGAUCACCCAUGUGCAACCAACCAUCCAUCAACAAAGCCACCAUCACAGCUCAUCGAAAGAAGCCAGAAGUUUUGGAAAAUAAAAUAUCACAACAGAUGAGACAUGUGGUGAGCCUGCACAAACAAUAUAGCAGAGGGCGCUCCCCUUCCCCACUUUUGAUGGAAGCUUGGAACACACCAAUGAACCUUAUACGGUAGACCUCCAUCUAGAGGAGGCCUACCAGAAACUGGCCAGCGAGACCCUGGAGGAGCUGGACUGGUGUCUGGACCAGCUAGAGACCCUGCAGACCAGGCACUCCGUCAGUGAGAUGGCCUCCAACAAGUUCAAGAGGAUGCUUAAUCGGGAGCUCACCCACCUCUCUGAAAUGAGUCGGUCUGGCAACCAGGUGUCGGAGUACAUAUCAAACACGUUCUUAGAUAAGCAACAUGAAGUAGAAAUUCCCUCUCCGACUCAGAAGGAAA